ACGAAAAGAGCACUCCACAUAAGUCCAGGAGAAAUUGAAGAACUUGAGGGUGUCUAAAAUAAAAGCUUGUGCCAAUUUAGUCUGUUCUAGCAUGGGCUUAUGCACCCCAUAGAGGGGAGGACAGUGAAAAAAACAGUAAGAAUCGCAAGAUUAAGAGAGGGGUUAAUCAAGCAUUUAUUCGGAUUAGAAAUAAGAUGUGUUAUAUCAGGGUAUAGAUCACUUUGCAAGAUGUAAACACUGAUCCAGAAACACUUCUGGUUUCAGUUUUUUAUUAUCUUACAUAUGUAUCUAAAUAAAUCUGAAAGGUAUUUGUUUAACAUUGUCGAAAUCGGUUAUAAAUGUUCUGUUGGUUGUAUGUUGUUUAAAAGCUUGUGCAACUGAAACAGGAAGUUCUUCUGGAUCAGCGCUGAACCAGAAUUGUUUACAUCAUCCAAAGAGGUCUAUAAAGUCUUGUGACCUAUCCAAUAAUAUGGUAUAUCGUGAUCAUUUGCAAAAUAUUGUUAGCACUGACAAUUCGAAAGACUGUAAAUAAUUUGAGAUAACAUGUAAACAUAAUUGUUUACAUUUCUCUCCUUUUCAUAUCUUUUAAAAUAAGCCGUGUACUUGUUUAAUGAAAUCAACAAAUAAAAAGCUAGUUACAUUUGUAUGAAAAAGUGUUGUUAUUCACGAAAAUAAUUAUAUCUGACUAAAAUGCUCUGACUGAUACUUAUAAGUGAAGUAAAAAAAGCAAUUUAGUUAAUCUAAUAGCCGGUCUUAAUUUAAAGAUGGCUUUUAUUCUCCUAUUUCUAUCAGACUUCAUUUAGCAAAACCUGCAGGACUUUGCGAUGCAUAAUCAAACAAAUCUGCUGCAACUUUUCAAGAUUGUCGCAGAUUUAACGCAUAAUUUGGCCGAAGACACACAAUGAAGACGCACAUCGUGCAUUCCGUCAAAACCUGCUCCAAAAGUCAAGCAGAGAUUCUCUUAGAUAGAGAGCUACAGAGAGAUAGAAGGGUAUUUACUCUUAAACUUGGAGAAAGCUUAACGGCCAACAACAUCCUUUAAAAAAAAAACUAAUUUUUCCAGAAACAUCCUCACCUUUUUAAAGCAAAAUUAGAAUAAAGCCGCCACAUAAUCAAGCCAUUUUGGACGCAGAAAUCAGCAAAAUUCGGUGGAUUUUAAUAAGUAAAUAUUAUGUCACGAAAUGCAAUCUACCUCGCAGUCUAUAAAACUGUCUAUAAAUAAUUAUUUAAUUAAAUCAAAAUCAUAAUUUAUUCAUGAAUUACAUAAUUUAAUUUUUACUCUAUUUAAUUGGUGUUAAAAAAUGACCAAAACAUCAUUAAUAACCAUAAAAGACACUACAAAUGCAAUAGCGGAAAAUACGGUAUACCGUUACAAAAGUCCCAACAAUUACUGCAAUAAUGCAUGAAAAACACAUGAUCUUCCAAAAAUUGGCUUUUAACUAAUCUUCUGACUAGUGUAUUGUCUGAACUGUUGUUCAUGGGCAUAUGGAGGGAUACAGAGUGGUGCUUCGUCGGCUGGCGCUCUUAUGUGGAGUGUUCAUUCUAUGAUGUGUGUGUGUGUGUUUGUGUGCAAACAGAAGCAUAGUCGUAGUCUCACAGUCGCUCCCAUUUAGAAAUCCCAAAGCAGCAACAGGAGGCACAGGGUUGAACAGCAUGGCUGGUGAGAAUUAAUGCAUGCACACAGCUCUCAGGCACCCAACCAGAGAGAUGGUAAGCGGGGGGGGCACUGUUCUUUUACAGCACGAUUCACAGGUUUCACCUUCCACCUAAAGGAACGCUCUUUAUGUGGCAGGCAGAGACCAGGGCGCUGGGAGCGAACCCGUAUCCACCCCCCGCCCACCCCCCUUAUCCUCCACUAAACGCAGAAAACCCAGCAAACAACCCUCCGAAUUCAGACCUCGUUCCCGCAACCCCACCUCACCUAGUCCCCCCUGCACAUAAGACUCAUUCAAAGCAUCCUUAUUUGGGACGGAUCGGAGAGAUGAUCGUAAACUACACAAAAUGAAUAAACACCGACGGUUUACGCAUGAGUGCGAUGUCAUGUCUUUAAAAGAAGUAGUCCAUCAAAAAUGAAUUCUUUUCAUCAUAUAUUCACCCUAAUUUCAUUUCAAACCUGUAUGAACCAAAUGAAGAUACUUUGAAGAACGUCUGGGAACAAAGAACACCGACUUCCAUUGCCCUCCAUUGUACGGAUACAAAACCACCGAGACAUUUUGCAAAAGAUCUUUUGUGUUCCACAGAAGAAAGAGUCAUAAAAAGGUUUUAAACAACAUGAAGGUGAAUAAAUGAUGACAGAAGAUUUAUUUUAAGGUGAACUAUCUCUUUAAGUAGAGCCUUGAACAGCCCCUGUGUGGCUGCGUUUUCGCGUUACCAAAUCUUACGAGAUUCUUUGUGUCUUGCGAAACUAACAAAAAUAGCGAACAACUGCAGGAACAGACAGUAUGUCAGUUUUUCGAGGCUAAUAAGAAAGAGAUAAAUUAGAAAUAUAAAGAGAUCAAAUUUGUUUUAAAUACAGAACAAAGAAAUAUAUACAGGUCUGAAACAACUUGAGGAUGAGUAAAUGAUGACAGAAUUUUAUCUCUUUAACCGUGUUUUUUUGUGGUAAACCUGCAGUAAUAAGGGUUUCUUGGUUAACCACUGCCAUAACUUUGGUUUUCCUACAGUAAUCAUGGUUUUCUUGGUUUAACAGUAGUAAAACCAUGGUUAAUAAUGCACAUUGUGUCCUUUGAACUUUUCUUUAACUGUGAAAAUAGCUUAUUGCUUCAUUUUAUUUUGGUUGGCUUUAGCUGUUAUAAACACUAUCAGAUGAGGCCAUUAACAUUUUACGCAACUCUAAUCGCAGAUGUGAGUACUUGGGAACACAUUGUUGCGGCCUACUUGAACAUACUUAAAAGCACCAAAAAGCUUUUGUCAAGUUUAGCGCUCUCUCUCCCUUAUCGAUCCAUCACGCGCAGCGGCUGCUUUGAAUGAUGUAACUGUGUGCUGUAGACAGCAGCACUAAACUUGACGCCCACAGAGCCGCCCAGACUGAAGAGAAAUGGGCCAAGCGUCGAGCAGGCAGACUAGACAAGCAAAGUCACACUCAGGCCAGAUGCAGCAAGUCUUGCUCCAACCACAGUUCAGAACCAAAAGGUUAUGAUUCGGUUCCAUCAUCCAGGAAGAUCAUUCUUUACCGGUUUCUUAGUGGACGUUAGAUUUUGGGGUUCUGCUAGGUUUCAAAGCCCAAUCUGAGAGCUGAAUGGAGGAGUAAGUGGGGGCAGAUUUGGACCGUAGACCCUGACUGGAGGAAGGGUGGACAGGAAGGAAGGGCGUACGUACCGUAUGCGGGAGCAGCAGCCGCUGCACUGUACCCGUAGGGCGUUCCGAAGCCUGUGAGAACAAGCAUUCGGCCCAGAGAAGAGUUUCUCUAGAGCGGCGAGAGCAGCGCUGGCUUUGGCUACUUUUUUAUUGGGCCCUGCGCCACGGAACUUCUGUCCAUCAACCUCCACCUGCCAAUGAGAGCAUGUAUGGUUUUUAUGCCACUCGUUCACUCAGUAUACCUUGACAGCCACGUGCAGCUUGGCGGUCUUCUUCGAAGAGCCGAGGCCUCAUAAACGGUGCCGUCCACGUCUACAGACAUGGUGAAGACAGGGGCAUGAACCGGA